rnacentral:ncRNA from 1 species
CACCUGGUUGAUCCUGCCAGUAGCAUAUGCUUGUCUCAAAGAUUAAGCCAUGCAAGUCUAAGUACGCACGGUCGGUACAGUGAAACUGCGAAUGGCUCAUUAAAUCAGUUAUGGUUCCUUUGAUCGCUCUACCGUUACUUGGAUAACUGUGGCAAUUCUAGAGCUAAUACAUGCCAACGAGCGCUGACCUCCGGGGAUGCGUGCAUUUAUCAGACCCAAAACCCAUGCGGGGCCCGCCUGCCCCCCGCCCCCGGGCGGGGGACGGCUCCCCGGCCGCUUUGGUGACUCUAGAUAACCUCGAGCCGAUCGCUGGCCCUCAGGUGGCGGCGACGUCUCAUUCGAAUGUCUGCCCUAUCAACUUUCGAUGGUACGCUCUGUGCCUACCAUGGUGACCACGGGUAACGGGGAAUCAGGGUUCGAUUCCGGAGAGGGAGCCUGAGAAACGGCUACCACAUCCAAGGAAGGCAGCAGGCGCGCAAAUUACCCACUCCCGACGCGGGGAGGUAGUGACGAAAAAUAACAAUACAGGACUCUUUCGAGGCCCUGUAAUUGGAAUGAGUACACUAUAAAUCCUUUAGCGAGGAUCCAUUGGAGGGCAAGUCUGGUGCCAGCAGCCGCGGUAAUUCCAGCUCCAAUAGCGUAUCUUAAAGUUGCUGCAGUUAAAAAGCUCGUAGUUGGAUCUCGGGAU